AAGUCGUAACAAGGUCUCCGUAGGUGAACCUGCGGAGGGAUCAUUAACACUAUGAAAACACGAAGUAGACUGUCAAGACUGCAAAGUCAACACAGAUUACUUUUGUUAUCAACCAACUCGUGAACGAAACAUUAUGUUACCUCUCUUUCACUUAGCUAUUGUGAUUAAAAGCAUAGCUUUGUGUUAGUUUUUGAUUGUAUUUUUGUUAUUAUACAAACCAACAACAACAGUAUAACAAAGUAACACCUGUAGUUUAUUCAUACUAGUGUGACUAAUAGUUAACAACAUAAGCACAACUCUUAGCAACGGAUAUCUCGGUUCUC
rnacentral:misc_RNA from 1 species